rnacentral:misc_RNA from 1 species
GAGCAAAAUCUUAAGGUGAUCUUGAAACUUUUUGGUAAUUUUAAUAGACUAUUUUUGUGAAAUUUGUGGUUUUUGAAGUUCUUGUCUGAAUGAGUUCAUUUUGGACUGACUAAUUUUUUGAAUGAUCCAAUCAGGGAGAAAAAAAAAUCUAUUAAUACUUUUUCAGUUUAUUUAUAAAAAAAAUAGCUGUGCAAACUCAAACUUGAUUUUCAAACUCGUCUAAAAAGUAGGCUAAGGUUGAAAAUAUUGGUCUCUGGAAUACAUCUAAUUGCAUUCAUUAUCGCCUUACUAUUAUGCUUGUCUAACUAUGGAUAUUAUUUUGUAUAUUCAUCAUGUUAUGCCAAAUGAAAAGGUGAAAUAUAUUUUUGCUUGUAUAUAGAGUGCCACUUCUCCUUACUCUCUAUAUAAAUAUCUCGGUAGCUUGGUACUUUUGUGGCAUUUUGUUCUUUUACAUUAUUCU